rnacentral:rRNA from 1 species
GACGAACGCUGGCGGCGUGCUUAACACAUGCAAGUCGAACGGAAAGGCCCUGCUCUUGUGGGGUGCUCGAGUGGCGAACGGGUGAGUAACACGUGAGUAACCUGUCCUUGUCUUUGGGAUAACUUCAGGAAACUGGGGCUAUUACCGGAUAGGAGCUCCUGCUGCACGGUGGGGGUUGGUAAGUUUCGGCGGUUGGGGCUGGACUCGCGGCUUAUCCGCUUGUUGGGGGGGUAGUUGCUUACAAAGGCUUUGACGGGUAGCCGGCCUGAGAGGGGUGACGGCGACAUGAGGACUAAGAGAGGGCCCAGAAUCCUACGGUAGGCAGCAGUGGGGAGUAUUGCACAAUGGGCGGAAGCCUGAUGCAGCAACGCCGCGAGCGGGAUGACGGCCUUCGAGUUGUAAACCGCUUUCGCCUGUGCCGAAGAGUGAGUGACGGUAAUGGGUAAAGAAGCACCGGCUAACUACGUG